CAUAUUUAUUUCCCGUUCGAAAGAGAAUCCCUCUUCCCGCACCUCUAAGCGGAGCACCCCUUCGAGCCCAAGCCGUGGUCAGUAUCCUAAUUAACCUGCCGCUUCUUGGAUUAUUAAUUAGUGAGACAGGAUCAAUGGAGUUCGUAGUAUACUUUGAGUUUAUUUUACUGGCUGGAGAAAGAACAAGAGCCCUUUCUUGGAGGGGCGUUCACGUGGAUGACCGAACUGAGUCCUCUUCUUUUUUGUAUCUUGAAGUACAAAUAUGGUUUGAUUUGAUAGUAUAUCAUAAUAUAAAUUGUUAAGAUUCUGAGUCUAUAAUCUAUAGACAGUUACAGUAGUUAUGGUCAAUUAAUCGCUCCCCUGAUUUUUGUACAUUAUUCUCACACAAAAAAUAUUGUUUGUUCCUCUCUUUUUUCAAGUUCACGCGUUGUACUGGAGAUUACUGUAAGACACAAGCAGAGAGGAUGAUGUGGUAGUCAAGUUCUUCGUGGAAACCUUGCCUUAGUUGAUCUUGCGGGCACUGAGCAAGCCUCUGAAAUGAAUAAUUUUGGCCAAAAGCUCAAUUCGAUCUUGCUGUUCUGUGGCUCAAAGGUUGUUGACUACCGUUGGCACUGCCCAGUUAAGUCUAUCAGGUUCCACUGAUCAUAUAUUUCUUUGGGGGCAUUUUAGGCUCCUUUCAAGGAAGAACGGUUAAAAUGGGAUUAGGACGAUCUUCGAAAGCGCUAACAGGUAAGCAUGUUUCUGGUGUACCUGGUGCUACAGAGUAAAAUUAGGCAUGCACCAACUGUUAGCUUCUUUCAUUUUUCAAUUCUUCAGGCCAGUAAACUCUGGUAUAAUGAACUGGUCACACAAGUUCCUGAGUCAGCGUUUGUUAGAAGGUUUUGGUUCCUCAAGGUCGGGUCUGCACCCUCGCACACAUCUGCACCUCCGUGGACUGCAACUCCACCUAGGCCGCUGCUACAUGUCACCACUAUCACAGGGCAGGACAAGGUCUUUGCAGUAGCUUGGAUGUGUCAUCGAUCUCCCGAGCGCGAUUCCAUGACUAGCUUGUGGUGGUGGGUAAUUUAGUGCAACUCUGCCUGCUCAUAUCUGGAGUAUGAUAAGAAUUUGGUGAUUUUGUGCAGUACUUUAGCUUGUUGUAGACUUUUAGAUAUAUGUAGCAAAAGCAAGUAGGGCAUGUAAUUUUUGUAGCUUUUAUUAUGAUACAUCUUUUAAACAUGUGCUUUGUUGUACUUAUUAUUAGCAACCGUAGCAAGAACGGUUGCUGAUCUCUGUUGGACACACCCGGAUGGAGAUUUCGAUAUUUGCAUCAGAUAUCUGUAUUUAUUUUAAUUCUGCUUGCUCUGAUUAAAAUAGAAAAUACCAUCGUUAUCUUAUACAUUGUUCUGUUAGGAUUGAAUACAACAAGACACGUGCCCAUUUCCGCUAUUGUACCCUUGAAUAAAAUGGUAAAUACUGCAGUUAUCAUAUACAAUCUCUCGGGAAUGAAUACCACAAGCGCAUUUUUGUUAAUAUCUCCUGCUUCCUGAUGUAUUUGUUUCUUGGUAAAAGCGAACUUCCAAUGAAUAUUUUUGUGCUGGAGCAGGCUACAAGGUAUGUAUUCGGCUGUGCAUAUUUAAUUUUAGUAUCUGGUGGAGAUGCCCUGUUCAAGGAGAGGGAGGGUGUGUAAACUUUGUGAAAUCCUUUCCUAUUGAUGACUUUGCAAACUUAUCAGGAGGCGGUGUUAAGAAAUCUAAACAGUUUAUGAACUAUAUAGGAAGACAUUUAUAGGUUAUAAAUAGUCAGUUCUACUUCUGCAGAUUUUCUAAAUAAGUGACGAAGUUUAGUUAGUAUUUUUUUUCCUGUCACUUCCUUAUCUAGCAAAAUUGCGAACCCAUGGUAUGAGCCACUAUUGCAAGCAUUAUCAUUAUGUUCUAAGGGAAACAUCAACUUUCCAAAGACAAUAUCCCAAACUGGACAGUUGAUACAUGGAACCAUUUUACUUUAAUAUUUAAAGUAUGGCUGCAAAUCUGGGAUGCAAGAGGUGAAAAUUCAUUGUCUACUCAGUUUCUCAGUUUUCCUCUUUCAGAAGCAAGAGAUUUUUCAAGACCUUGAUCCACUGCUGUGGCACUCCUUUGGCACCGUUGCUGCACUGCUCCAGGAGAUUGUGUCAAUCUACCCUUCACUUUCAUCUCCUACUUUGUUGCCAGUUGCAUCAAACCGUGUCUGCAAUGCACUUGCACUUCUUUAGUGUGUUGCUUCACACCUUGAGACUAGGAUCUCGUUCUUGAAUGCUCACAUCCCACUGUACCUGUACCCGUUCCUAAAUACUACCAGCAAGACCAGACCUUUUGAGUACUUGAGGCUUACCAGCUUGGGUGUUGUUGGUGCUCUUGUGAAGGUUGACGAUUCUGAAGUUAUUGGACACAAGCAGCUGCUUGAAAGGACAUCUAGAAAAAAGGUUUGUCAGGCACAAUAAAGAUUUGAAUGUUUGAAUCAUAUCAGCAACAACUUGGAGGUGCUUAUUUUCUCCAUGGGGUCUUUCGGAAGCUUAAAAAUAACACAACAAAGGAAUCAAUGGUUCCGAUAUUACACCAGAACUUUAGCUUUCUCGGGCAUGUGACGAUGGCUUCCAUGGAAAAAAUCAUCAGAGUGACUGUCGAUGACCUUCAGGUAUAUCAGCGUCAAAUGACAAAAGAAUGCCUCCAGAAAGUUUGUUCAUCAGGCACAAGCGAACGACAAAAUGCAGGAUCAAUGGAAUUCUCUUUCAACAGAAGAUCUGCAUGAUCUUUUUACUCUUCAUGAACAAGUCAGUGCGAGAGAAAGUUGCAUGCUAUAUGAGUGUUAAACGCCAUCGAGCGAUCUGAACAGAGCCGUGGCUCGAGUCGUUUUCGCUGUCCUGGUCCAUGGGUCAGGAUUGAUGCUUUCCGGUAACUCCGACAGUAGCCGAGUAAACGCAAGCAUGGGUCGCUGGGAGCAGCUGUCUCCUACCUCUCGAGCCUGGAUCCAUCUUUUAUCGAGAGCGGCAGCCUCGGCGAGCCACCGUCUGUGAGAAGGGACCUACGGAUACCCGUGAAGAUGGGGUUCCUGCUGCAGCCGAUUAACAGACGCACCAUGAGGGAAGCAGUGUGGACGGCCAAAUCUGUGCGGCAGAAGUGGGGGCAGAGGCAGCGAUUGGGAAUUCCGCUCAGUCAUCUGAUUAAUCCAUAGAACAGAUCGAUCCCAAAUUGCCUGGAUAGACUAGAAGGUAUUCAUGUGGUAUAACUAUCACGUGUCUGAUCAUAUUCCUGUGGUACCCUGCAACUCAUGUGCUUGUGUUGAACAUUACAUGUGCUUAAGAUUUAUUAAACCAUGGAAUAGAUAUGGAAAAUUAGCAUAGAAAUAUAGAUACUGUUUAGGCCUUGUGUACUUAUGUUCAGAUUGAAAAAUUCAUGUAUCAUGUCCUUCUGUAAGAAACUUUCUAAUCCAAAUGAUUGGAGUGCUAUCGUUUGGCCAUACAAAAGCAUAGAGGAAUUGUAAGUAAUGUGGUCGAUGCUCGAUAGUAUCAGGUUCGUGUGAGG